rnacentral:piRNA from 1 species
UGUGUGGAUAGCAACGUGGACUGAGGU